GAUGAACGCUGGCGGUGUGCCUAAUACAUGCAAGUCGAGCGAACAGACGAGGAGCUUACUCCUCUGACGUUAGCGGCGGACGGGUGAGUAACACGUGGAUAACCUACCUAUAAGACUGGGAUAACUUCGGGAAACCGGAGCUAAUACCGGAUAACAUGUUGAACCGCAUGGUUCAACAGUGAAAGACGGUCUUGCUGUCACUUAUAGAUGGAUCCGCGUCGCAUUUGCUAGUUGGUAAGGUAACGGCUUACCAAGGCAACGAUGCGUAGCCGACCUGAGAGGGUGAUCGGCCACACUGGAACUGAGACACGGUCCAGACUCCUACGGGAGGCAGCAGUAGGGAAUCUUCCGCAAUGGGCGAAAGCCUGACGGAGCAACGCCGCGUGAGUGAAGAAGGUCUUCGGAUCGUAAAACUCUGUUAUUAGGGAAGAACAAAUGUGUAAGUAACUAUGCACGUCUUGACGGUACCUAAUCAGAAAGCCACGGCUAACUACGUG
rnacentral:rRNA from 1 species